rnacentral:lncRNA from 1 species
GGUAGGCUUGCAUAGCUAGCUUUGCAAUGCUUCCUGAUCUCCCGUCUUUGCUGACCUUCGCUUCGUUGAGAGAGCAAUGGCAAAGAACUUCUCCUGGUGUCUAAGCUGGUCCUAAUCACUCCUGCAGAUUUAUGUCAACUUGGCUGAGGUCUGGCUGUUUCUGCUAGGUCAUGCCACUGCUGCUGAUUCGUGUUUGCUAUCCCAGCACUACUGAACUGGACUGCUGGUAUAUCGUGGUGUAGCUGCAAGUGGAUUGAGCUGCUGCUGCUGCUGACCUGUGAACUGAACGGCUGAUUUCCUGACAAUGCAGAUUGGAUUUGCUCCAAAGAACAAUUUCUAAACAGGUCUAUUUCCCCUGUCUCCCAAUAACCUUUCUUUUCUACUACCUCUGGUGGGUGUUGGGUUAGAAGGAAGGUCAAAGCAUUUAAGAACAAUUAUUAAAAUUAGGGCUGGGAAAAAUGUAAGCAUAUACACAAUGCACUGUGGCAUAUAUGGUCAUGUGACACACAUAUACAUGUAAUAAUCAUGUGACACACAUAUACAUGUAAUAAGUGAAUAUGUUUUUUUUAAUUAAAACAGUCAACUUUAAGUUGUGUGCAUUUUACCCAUAA